AUUCUGCCCAUGCGGGGAAGGAUGAGAAGCUUCGACUAAGGUUCGACUCGAGCGCCAGCGAGAGAGCGUUGCCGCAGGCAACGACCCGUAGGGCGAAGCGCGCAGCGCUGAGUAAUCCUUCCCCCACCACCA
rnacentral:sRNA from 5 species